rnacentral:lncRNA from 1 species
UCUGACUCCUCUUUCUCCUCAACCUUCUCCUCCUUUUUGGCCUCAGCAGCAGGAGCAGCACCACCACCUCCAGCAGCAGGUGCUGCAGCAGCAGCAACAGCUACACCACCACCAGAAGGCACAGAUGCCAAUUUCUCCCUUCCUGCUGCAACCAAUUCUGUGAUAUCCUUUCCUUCAACUUGGGACAACAAUAACUGAAUCUUAUCAUCAUCAGCAUCAGCUCCAAC